rnacentral:rRNA from 1 species
UACGGAGGGGACUAGCGUUGUUCGGAAUUACUGGGCGUAAAGCGCACGUAGGCGGAUUUGUAAGUCAGGGGUGAAAUCCCGGGGCUCAACCUCGGAACUGCCUUUGAUACUGCAAAUCUCGAGUCCGGAAGAGGUGAGUGGAAUUCCUAGUGUAGAGGUGAAAUUCGUAGAUAUUCGGAAGAACACCAGUGGCGAAGGCGACUCACUGGACAUGUAUUGACGCUGAGGUACGAAAGCGUGGGGAGCAAACAGG